GUUUAACUAUAACACAAAUAAUACUUCAGUGUAACAUCUUACAAAACACCCACAAGUGUCUUUGUUCCCUUAGACUCAUUUAACCACAUUGCCACUGUGUUGUUUUCCUUAGAAACAUUUAUCUCCUUCACCGUACUUGCUUAUACUUUUUCAUAUUCCGGUAAACAUAAGACCUUUCUUUGAAAACAUAGUUUUAAAUAGCUCAUAUUUAUGGAACAGGACCCACUGAGCUCCGCCUUCCAUAUGAAAGAGAUCUCUGAAGUGGUACGAUUAUGACCUAUGAUUAUAACCCAUAAAUCUUACACAGUGACUCAAAUGUGAUGGGACCACCUUAUAGAGAGCCACACCAGGGUGCCAUAGCACACUGAUUGAGAACCAUGCCGCUGCUUCUGCUGGGAUGCCCUCCAAAUUAUUGGGUGCAGACAUCAGAAUUGUGCCUGUAUCCUCCUGGUGGUAUGUGCUCCUCAGAGGCCUGAUCUACAUAUGUUCACCUCCUAGGGACAAAAACAACCUAAGAGGCCAGGAAGUUUAUUCCUAUGAAAUGUUGCUUCUCCAAAGGCCAUCUCAACUCGAUUACACAUUUUCCAAAUAAAAUCUCUUAUAUAAAAGCUUUUCUUGGGGUUUAUCUUUCUCGAAAGUGAUAUAACUUCAGAUAGAAGCUGAUUUGACCAACCAAAUGACUUUGACUCAGUCUUCUGGUUGAUCAUUAUCAUGUAAGAAAACUCAGGUAAUUCCAGAUAAACCAAUGUUUUUUUAAAAAUUGUUUAGUCGUUUAUUUAUUUAUUUAUUUUUAUUUUACUUUAAGUUCUGGGAUACAUGUGCAGAACGUGCAGGUUU
rnacentral:lncRNA from 10 species